rnacentral:rRNA from 1 species
CUAGCGACUUCAGAGUUUGAUCCUGGCUCAGGAUGAACGCUAGCUACAGGCUUAACACAUGCAAGUCGAGGGGCAGCGCAGUGUAGCAAUACAUGGGCGGCGACCGGCGCACGGGUGCGUAACGCGUAUCCAACCUUCCCGUUACUCAGGGAUAGCCUUCCGAAAGGGAGAUUAAUACCUGAUGGUGUUUGAAUUCCGCAUGUUAUUCAAACUAAAGAUUUAUCGGUAACGGAUGGGGAUGCGUGACAUUAGGUAGAUGGCGGGGUAACGGCCCACCAUGCCUACGAUGUCUAGGGGUUCUGAGAGGAAGGUCCCCCACACUGGAACUGAGACACGGUCCAG